AUGGACCAAUCGACAUCGAAAAACAAGAAUUCCUCCAAUCUACAAGACCCCCAAAAUAUGGGAAUAAACCAGCCCAUGCUACUCUUUGAAGAUCCUCCCCAAGCUUCCGGGAACAAAGGACGAGUCCAAGCCUCACUAAAGCCUGAAGACUACACCAUCAAUCUGAAUCACCUCAAGCAAUAUUCUUCGAAUGAAAGGUGCCACCUGACUCCAGCAAAACGAAGGAUAAAUGUCACGUGUUAUAGAUGUGGCGAGAAAGGACAUUGUGCCUUGGAUUGCCCUAAGAAAAAGCUAGGAAAUGGACAAGUAAGGAAUAUACCUCGAUACCCAAAAAGGAAAAUGAGGGCAGGAAUACCACCAAAACCGAUGCCACAUUCACUCUAUCCAAAACCUAUGUAUCAGCAAUUUCGUAGACAAGGAACUAUACCACAUUGGUGGAAGGGAAAACGGAAAAGAAAAGCGUCAUCACUAAUAACAUAUGCUGAACUUGACCUCAGUAGAAUGGGAAUAGAAAUCGACAUGGACCAAUCGACAUCGAAAAACAAGAAUUCCUCCAAUCUACAAGACCCCCAAAAUAUGGGAAUAAACCAGCCCAUGCUACUCUUUGAAGAUCCUCCCCAAGCUUCCGGGAACAAAGGACGAGUCCAAGCCUCACUAAAGCCUGAAGACUACACCAUCAAUCUGAAUCACCUCAAGCAAUAUUCUUCGAAUGAAAGGUGCCACCUGACUCCAGCAAAACGAAGGAUAAAUGUCACGUGUUAUAGAUGUGGCGAGAAAGGACAUUGUGCCUUGGAUUGCCCUAAGAAAAAGCUAGGAAAUGGACAAGUAAGGAAUAUACCUCGAUACCCAAAAAGGAAAAUGAGGGCAGGAAUACCACCAAAACCGAUGCCACAUUCACUCUAUCCAAAACCUAUGUAUCAGCAAUUUCGUAGACAAGGAACUAUACCACAUUGGUGGAAGGGAAAACGGAAAAGAAAAGCGUCAUCACUAAUAACAUAUGCUGAACUUGACCUCAGUAGAAUGGGAAUAGAAAUCGGUGAUUUGCCUGAAGAAGUUGAAGAACUACAACUAUGGCAACGAAAGAGAGAUGGCUGU
rnacentral:lncRNA from 1 species